rnacentral:tRNA from 1 species
GGCUUCAUAGCUCAGUUGGUAGAGCAACGCUCUAGUAACGCGGAGGUCAUGGGUUCAAAUCCCGUUGAAGCCA